rnacentral:rRNA from 1 species
CCCUUAGAUGUUCUGGGCCGCACGCGCGCUACACUGAUUCAUGCAACAAGUUUUGUCCUUGGCUGAUAGGCCUGGGUAAUCUUUGAACGUGAAUCGUGAUGGGGAUAGAUGAUUGCAAUUAUUCAUCUUCAACGAGGAAUUCCUAGUAAACGCAAGUCAUCAGCUUGCAUUGAUUACGUCCCUGCCCUUUGUACACACCGCCCGUCGCACCUACCGAUUGAAUGGUCCGGUGAAAUCUUCGGAUCUGAGAGAUGUCUGAUUAAUUUCGGACGCCUUUUGGAAAAGUUGCUUAAACCUUACCAUUUAGAGGAAGGUGAAGGCGUAACA